GACGAACGCUGGCGGCGUGCCUAAUACAUGCAAGUAGAACGCUGAAGGAGGAGCUUGCUUCUCUGGAUGAGUUGCGAACGGGUGAGUAACGCGUAGGUAACCUGCCUGGUAGCGGGGGAUAACUAUUGGAAACGAUAGCUAAUACCGCAUAAUAGUAGAUGUCGCAUGACAUUUGCUUAAAAGGUGCAAUUGCAUCACUACCAGAUGGACCUGCGUUGUAUUAGCUAGUUGGUGAGGUAACGGCUCACCAAGGCAACGAUACAUAGCCGACCUGAGAGGGUGAUCGGCCACACUGGGACUGAGACACGGCCCAGACUCCUACGGGAGGCAGCAGUAGGGAAUCUUCGGCAAUGGACGGAAGUCUGACCGAGCAACGCCGCGUGAGUGAAGAAGGUUUUCGGAUCGUAAAGCUCUGUUGUAGGAGAAGAACGAGUGUGAGAGUGGAAAGUUCACACUGUGACGGUAUCUUACCAGAAAGGGACGGCUAACUACGUG
rnacentral:rRNA from 1 species